rnacentral:rRNA from 1 species
GAUGAACGCUGACAGAAUGCUUAACACAUGCAAGUCAACUGUGGCGGACGGGUGAGUAACGCGUAAAGAACUUGCCUCACAGUUAGGGACAACAUUUGGAAACGAAUGCUAAUACCUGAUACUGUGAGAGAGCUUUGCGUCCCAUUAGCUAGUUGGAGAGGUAACGGCUCAGCAAGGCGAUGAUGGGUAGCCGGCCUGAGGGGGUGAUCGGCCACAAGGGGACUGAGACAAGGCCCGUACGCCUACGGGAGGCAGCAGUCGGGAAUAUUGGACAAUGGACCAAAGUCUGAUCCAGCAAUUCGGUGGGCACGAUGAAGUUUUCGGAAGGUAAAGUGCUUUCAGUUGGGAAGCGGUACCAACAGAAGAAGCGACGGCUAAAUACGUGCCAGCAGCCGCGGUAAUUC